AUGAACCAUGUAACCUUCAGUAUUAACGGUACAUGCCUCAAUGAACCAUGUAACAUUUCAACCUUUCAAAAAAAAACAUGUAAUAUUUCAACGAACCACGUAACCUUCUUUCUUAAUGAUACAUUCAACCCCUAUCGUCUUCAUCUCGCGCUGAUAGCAGCAACGGCAGUGGAGCAGACAAUGGGUUCGUGCCUGCCGUCGGUGUGUAGUGAUGGGGCGGUGGCGGUUGGCGUGGUUCGUCAGGGUGCGUGUGACACCGCGUGUGACGCCGCCCUGGCUAGGUGGCAGUGGACUAGGACAGCCAGCCAGUCGUGCACCACCAGACUCCCUGCAUUCCAGUCUCGGUCGCUUAUCCAGCUAUGCUGCUGCCGCUUUUUUUGUCCAUGCCCACAUGCAACAUUCCCACAUACAGGUAUCCAAAGGUUCGAAUAG
rnacentral:rRNA from 1 species